rnacentral:lncRNA from 1 species
UGAAAUUUUCACUUGGGAUUCGAGGUACGAGUACUAGCUCUUAUUUAGGAUAAGUAGACAACCGAGAGAUACCGCGACAUGGUAUUAGGUUAGAAGAGGAUCAAGAAGUGGCCUUGAUGUUUCUCGAAGUACACUUAAGCCCACUAGACAGAGUACUAGACAAGCCCGAGGUGAAGGCAGCCUCUGAGACCCAUAAUAAGAACCAUCUUAGUACAGGUCCUGCUCGUCAUACUGAUGGAUCGAGGUCGACCAUCGACCACAGGUGGGCACUAAUAAGAAUUAAUAAACUUUUAUAGUUAUUUAUAAGUAUUAAUUAAAUUUGUAACCUUAAAUUAUCUUUAAUCUAACCAUUUUCUUUUGUUCAGGCUAGAGAGUUGGGUCAUGAGCCUAUAGUCUUUGAGUUAUUCCAUGGAUUGCACAGCAAGACUGAUGGCCAGUUUAUCAACAACAAGUCCUAGCAGAUCGUUGUAAGUUACUUAUAACUUAUAAAUUUUCAAUUAAUAUUUCUAGUGUUUUAAUUUAAUAUAAUAAUUAAUUUUGAUUUUUGAUUAACAAAGGAUGUUGUUGAGACGCGGGCAGCUGCCGCAUCUUAGCCCAGCAAGGUGAUCCUAGAUCGGUUUACAUAUCACAGCUAUUGUCGAGGUCGUCAGUGAGGAGAAAAAGCAGCGCAUAUACGAGUUAGGAUCAGAGGAGCCCACCUUCACCUAACCCCGUAGCUCUGACAGCUCUAGCAACACUACCUCUAAUAGCUUGCAAGAGUCCCUCAAACGCGAGUUACGAGCAUAGUUGGAUCAAGAGUACGGCGCCCGCAUAGCAUAUCUAUAGCGGAUGAUAAGCACAUGGUUCACAUAUUUGGUGUUGGCAUCAUUCCACCACCUGCACCUACUCCUCAAGUCGAUGCCUCUGCGACUGCUACCCCAGAUCCUCCA